CUGGAACGCAAGGCCCCGGUUCGCGGACGCCGGCUACGUCUCCCCUGGGGUGUGUGGUGUGUAAACAGCAUUGUUGUCAAUCAUGUCGCGUCUGUGAGUUUCAGCAGCCUCACGGUGGAUUCUUUGGGAAUUUCUGUCCACUUUGAGAACCACCUGUCUUGGGUUCCAUACUCAGUGGACUAACAAAGAAAGCAGCUUAUUUAAGAGUGAAAUAAUUUCAGCUACUAUGAAAAUCUUCAAGAAAGCAUGGCCAACAUUCUCUGUGUUUACAUUGGUACUGGUCUUAAUGGAAUGCUGUUAACUCAACCUAAAGCUAUGCUUUUUAAAACAAUUCAAGUUCAAGGGCAUCCUGUUUGUAACCAAUCAUGUUCCAGGCCUAUUACAAAGUAUUUGCAAUAACAAUGCAAACUGGCAUACACCCGGUCAAGCCAUUCUCAUCUCCUGAAGACAUUCUCAUCUCCUGAAGCCAUUCUCAUUUCCUGAAACGGGGAGACUAGAACAUUAGGAUACAGGGUACAGUGGGAGCUAUUAAGGAAGAUAACCAAGCUUAGGCGCAAGGAACCCCUGGAAACCAUCCUUCUACUUUCUGUCUCUGUGAGUUUGACAACUCCAUAUGAACACAGGAUAUAGUGAAGAUGAGGUCAUUAGGGUGGACCCUGAUUCACUAUGAUUGGUGUCCUCACAAAAGGGAAAUUUGGACACCGAGAUAGACAUGCACAGAGGGAAGAGGAUGUGAAGACACUGGGAAAAGACAGCCAUGGACAAGCCAAAGAGAGAGCCUUGGAGAGACAGCCUUCCCUCACAGCCUCCAAAGGAACGAAUUCUGCCCGCACCGUGAAUUUGGACAUCUAGCCUCCGGAAUUGUGAGAUAAUAAAUUUCUAUUGUUUAAGCCACUCAUUUGUGGUACUUUCUUAUGGCAAGUCUAGCAGAUUAACACACAAUUCUUAGAGCCAUGCGCCUCCCAACACUUACCCCACGAUUUUCAAUUUUUCCUGUAUGUGGUGCCCAGGAGGGUUUUUAAACCUCAGAACAGCAGUUCACCCCAAUAAUA